AUUGGGCAAUGCCCGCAAGGGUGACGCAGCAACGCCGCGUGGAGGAUGAAUGUCGUAAGAUUGUAAACUCCUGUUAGAGGGGAAGAAUAGUACCGGUUGGACCGGUAUAUGACUGUACCCUCAGAGAAAGCCCCGGCUAACUACGUGCCAGCAGCCGCGGUAAUACGUAGGGGGCAAGCGUUGUCCGGAUUUACUGGAUGUAAAGGGCGCGCAGGCGGGAUAAAAAGUCAGUGGUGAAAUCCUACAGCUUAACUGUAGAACUGCCUUUGAUACUUUUAUUCUUGAGUGUGGGAGAGAGAGACGGAAUUCCAGGUGUAGUGGUGAAAUACGUAGA
rnacentral:rRNA from 1 species